rnacentral:lncRNA from 1 species
UUUUAUGGUGAGGAGCAAGCAAGCAAGAAAGGUUAUUAGCAAGCAGGAAGCACAGAGGAAGGGCCUUCUGGAUCUCAAACCUGGUUGCUGGCUACCAGAGGAAGGGAAGGGAGCAGUUUCGCCAUUGCCAACCACAGAGCAGCCGACCGGUGCAUCACCGAGGCCGGCUCCGUCAGCUCGGUCAGCUCGGGUGGGCUUAUUUCUUUGAGUGGAGGCACCACUCAGUUCUCAGUUCAGAGGAAAAAGAAUGAGUGGACAAUGUUGCUGUUGUUGUCUGCACAGAAUGCUAGGGGAGUGAAAGGUGUUUAAAUAGAGGAAGGGAAAGUUCAGAACAGCUGCCAGGCCAGAGCAGAUGCUGGGAGGGCGGGAAGCGGUGAGAAGGCUGGGGUACAGGAUUGCUCCCGAGACCCGCCCAGGCACUGGAUGCACCUGCAGCCUGAGAGCAGCAGGGGGCGGGGUGCCGGGAGGAGAGGGAUUUCAGAUCCCCUGUGCCCUGUGGACGUCAGAAAGCAGGACUUUCUCUUCUGAAACCUGGGCUAGUUCUCAGGUGCAACAGGCCCUGGGUGUGAUGCUCUGACCAGGCGCCCCGGGUGUAAGUACUCAGGCUUCUCGUGCUUCCUCUUCAUACUACACCUUUUGGAACCCAAGAACCUCGCGGCUGCUCCUUCUGGCAAUGGAAAUGUCAGAAAGCAAAGGAAAUUUAAGCUCCACUCAGAGAAAAGAGAAGAUACCAAAAAGUCUAGGGCAACAGACUGUGGUAAGAUGAAUGUGUCAUAUAUGCUGAUGGGGCUGAAAGAAUGAUCUGGAAAGCCAGGGCAUGGUAAUCAGAGAGUGGGGUCCAUGAUGAGACCCUGUCAGGGCAGGGCUGGAGUUACUGCUCAUGGAAGUCUGGGAGUGGAAGGCCGAGGUGGGUGCAGGACAAGGUCCUGGGAGAAAAGAAGGUCAAGAAGAAAAGGAGGUCGGAUAGGACAGACUUGUAGACAAGAAUUAAGGUAGCCAGAGUUUUGGAGAAAAUGGCAGAGGCACUGGAGCUAGACUCACCCAGGAAAGAAGGGGAGAGGCCCUGUGGGAGGGCAGAGCAGCAGCAACGAGCAGUAAUGGGUGAGGGACUCCACUAACAGACGAACGGUUCAGCCAGGAGCAAUUGUCAGCGAGAAACAGGAGCGCACCUGCGUCCUCUGCAGGUCGAGGGGGUGCAGGAGCCGGGGCAAAACAAAUUACAGUGGAGAGGCAGCAGCACCCUCUGGGGGGACCGAUCCCCUUCAGAGUAGGAGUCAGCAAACUGCUGCUCAGGGGCCACAUCCAGCUACCCGUUUUUGUAAACAAAGAUUUAUUAGAGCAUGGUUGCCCCCAUUCAUUGGCAGUGGGUUUUGCUAUUUAUGGGAUCAAAGUUUUCUUAGUAUGCUCUGAGAGGGUUACUGCAAUAAAUAAGAUGACUAUAUUUUUUUUAGCAGAAAGGUCAUAUGAUUGUGAGAGGUGAAGCCGGCUGGGAUUCUGGGUCAGGUGGUGACUUGGAGAACUUUUCUGUCUAGCUAAAGGAUUGUAAACACACCAAUCAGCACUCUGUGUCUAGCUAAAGGAUUGUAAAUGCACCAAUCAGCACUUGUAAAAAUGCGCCAAUCAGCACUCUGUGUCUAGCUAAAGGUUUGUAAAUGCGCUAAUCAGCACUCUGUAAAAACAGACCAAUCAGCACUCUGUAAAACAGACCAAUCAGCGCUCUGUAAAAUGGACCAAUCAGCAGGAUGUGGGUGGGGCCAAAUAAGGGAAUAAAAGCUGGCCACCCGGGCCAGCAGCAGCAACCUGCUCAGGUCCCCUUCCAUGGUGUGGAAGCUUUGUUCUUUCGCUGUUCACAAUGAAUCUUGCUGCUGCUCACUCUUUGGGUCCGCACUAGCUUUAUGAGCUGUAACGCUCACUGCGAAGGUCUGUGGCUUCACUCCUGAAGUCAGCAAGACCACGAACCCACCGGAAGGAGGAAACAACUCCGGAAGCACCACGUUUAAGAGCUGUAACACUCACUGCGAAAGUCUGCAGCUUCACUCCUGAAGUCAGCAAGACCACAAACCCACCGGAAGGAAGAAAUUCCAGACACAUCUAAACAUUGGAAGGAACAAACUCCAGACACACUAUCUUUAAGAACUGUAACACUCACCGCGAGGGUCUGUGGCUUCAUGCUUGAAGUCAGCCGGACCAAGAACCCACCGGAAAGAACCAAUUCCUGACACAAUCGUAUGUAAAAUUUUACUUCCUGAUGUGGGAGUUCAUGAAAAUGAAUUUAAACCUAAUUUUAAUUAUGCUUAUAUUCUUACCCCCUCCUGUUGCCAUUCCGUCCUAUACAUGACCCCAAACCAACAAACACUUGAAUUGUUUAUUUUUAAUUACACCACGAGGCUACAUUUUUAUUGUUUUACAAGGCAUAGGUAAAAAGCAAGGAGUUGAAGGCAAGUGGACUGGGGCAGGGAGGUGGAACUGGAGCGCACUGCGGUCAGAACCCUGGGUUGGAUGGAGGUUUGGUUUCUGUCUCUGCCAGAAGCCGUCUCUCUUAACCGUGGACAGAUCUUGUUCCUGAAUGGACGCUUUCAGUAUUUCUUUCUGAAGUCUGAUAUUUGCUAUAGAUUUUAUUUUUUUCUGUGGCUGUAGAUACCCUUUAUCUGGUUAAUAAAAUUAUUAUCUAUUACUUAAUGGAGCGACCCACAUGGUGAGAAACUGAGGCCUCUUGGCAACAGCUAUGUCACUAAACCAACUUGGAAGUGGGU